rnacentral:tRNA from 1 species
GAGGGUAUAGCUCAGUGGUAGAGUGCAUGUUUAGCAUGCAUGAGGUCCUGGGCUCAAUCCCCAGGACCUCU